rnacentral:lncRNA from 1 species
AACUCCUAUCAUGCCAUCUGGACUUCUCCGAUAAUGAGCUCCUUCAGUCGUCUACCGGACUGCUCCAAAUGCUCUCUGGGCUUCAUUAUCAGCCAAUUUACUACAGUGAUCGACUACUCUCCAAAUCUCUUUCAGACUUCCUCCUGUCACGAUCGACUAUACUCCAAGCUUCUUCUGGACUUCGUCAAUGUCCGAGCUUCUCCAGCAGCAAGACUUCCAUAGUAGCC